AGAGUUUGAUCCUGGCUCAGAUUGAACGCUGGCGGCAUGCUUUACACAUGCAAGUCGAACGGUAACAGGUCUUCGGAUGCUGACGAGUGGCGAACGGGUGAGUAAUGCAUCGGAACGUGCCCAGUCGUGGGGGAUAACGCAGCGAAAGCUGUGCUAAUACCGCAUACGAUCUAUGGAUGAAAGCGGGGGACCGUAAGGCCUCGCGCGAUUGGAGCGGCCGAUGUCAGAUUAGCUAGUUGGUGGGGUAAAGGCCCACCAAGGCGACGAUCUGUAGCUGGUCUGAGAGGACGACCAGCCACACUGGGACUGAGACACGGCCCAGACUCCUACGGGAGGCAGCAGUGGGGAAUUUUGGACAAUGGGCGCAAGCCUGAUCCAGCAAUGCCGCGUGCAGGAAGAAGGCCUUCGGGUUGUAAACUGCUUUUGUACGGAACGAAAAGGUUCGGGUUAAUACCCUGGGCUCAUGACGGUACCGUAAGAAUAAGCACCGGCUAACUACGUGCCAGCAGCCGCGGUAAUACGUAGGGUGCAAGCGUUAAUCGGAAUUACUGGGCGUAAAGCGUGCGCAGGCGGUUUUGUAAGACAGGCGUGAAAUCCCCGGGCUCAACCUGGGAAUGGCGCUUGUGACUGCAAAGCUGGAGUGCGGCAGAGGGGGAUGGAAUUCCGCGUGUAGCAGUGAAAUGCGUAGAUAUGCGGAGGGAACACCAAUGGCGAAGGCAAUCCCCUGGG
rnacentral:rRNA from 1 species